rnacentral:rRNA from 1 species
GUAAGGAAUAUUGGUCAAUGGGGGCAACCCUGAACCAGCCAUGCCGCGUGAAGGAUGAAGGCGUUAUGCGUUGUAAACUUCUUUUGUAUGGGAAGAAUGACAGGGAUUUAUCCUUGGAGAGACGGUACCAUACGAAUAAGCACCGGCUAACUCCGUGCCAGCAGCCGCGGUAAUACGGAGGGUGCAAGCGUUAUCCGGAAUCACUGGGUUUAAAGGGUACGUAGGCGGUUAAUUAAGUCAGUAGUGAAAGACUGUCGCUCAACGACGGAUGUGCUAUUGAUACUGGUUAACUUGAAUCAGGUUAGAGUUGGCGGAAUGGGUCAUGUAGCGGUGAAAUGCUUAGAUAUGUCACAGAACACCAAUUGCGAAGGCAGCUUACUAAGGUGUCAAUGACGCUGAGGCACGAAAGCGUGGGGAUCAAACAGGAUUAGAAACCCCGGUAGUCC